rnacentral:lncRNA from 1 species
AUGGGGACAAGUAAAAGUAAACAAAGGCCCAGAGAUGAAUUGCGGUGUAAGGAUUGGAAAUUCAUCGACGGACAAAAUCCAAAGAAACUCGCGUAUUUAGACAAGUGGAUAACUGAUUAUGGGUUCAAAGGACAGCUAAAUUCACAACAAAUAACAGCCCUACAAGAUGAAAUAAAAGAGCGAACUAAAAAUAAUCCGAAAAAGAUGAAAAAAUGCGGUUAUGAGGAUACUGAGUUUUGGUUGCAGUUAGCGUUAAGGAGAGAGAAGGGACAAAGUAAGUUGAAAAUGGAGGCAAAGGAGGGAAAGGACGAGGUUGAGAACAAACAGUUAAUGUUUCACAGGAAAGAGGAUGAUGAGACAGGCGCAGUGAGCAGACGCGCGCACAGACAGACAGAGCAGGCAACAGAUAAGUCGGCAGAGAAAGGGGAAGCGGAUGUAGAACAGAGAGCAGCAGGGGUGGGAGGCUUGUAUCCUGACCUUCGUGAAUCGUGUGCAUUGCCACCAACAUAUACACCACAGACAUUAGACCCUCCACCCACUGAUACACUUAAAAUUACACGCUCAGCGCACCCCCAUGGGUAUGCGUGGUCAAAGACAUUAGGACAAGCACUGACUCCAGCAGUCCCAAAAUUGAAUAAUCUAAGUGAAACGAGCAUUCCUCCAAUGGAAGAUAUGUACCCCAUGAUUGAAGUAGCUAAUCCAAAUGCUGAAACAAACCAACCUGUAAUGCUAGUCUAUAGAACUUGGACAAUGGAGGAUGUUAAAAAAGCCAUAGAAGGUGUGCCUUCCCAUAAGGAAGACAUAGAACUCUUUAUAGAAGGUAUGGAAAAUGUGAGAAGAGCCUAUCACCUUAAUGGUGCAGAGGUUCAACAGAUCUGGAUGGCAGCUCUGGGUUCUAACUGGACUCAUGUAAGAGGAGACUGGAAUCCAAAACAAAAUAAUGAGGUGCUGAAACAUGAUGAUGGUGAAUUGACAAACAGAGUCAAUGCUCUUGUAUUAAGAACUCGAAAUCGUUUCGCUAAGAGAGCAAAUUAUGUGGAAAUUAACCGUGUUAAACAAAGAGAGGAUGAGCUUUUCGAAGAAUAUCAAGCCAGAAUGACUAAAGUUUUCAGAGCAAACAGUGGACUGCAUGAUGACAACACAGAUGCAGGUGCAUAUAGACAACAGUUGAAAAAUGCCCUCCAUGCAGGCUCCAGAGAGCCUAUUCGUGGAUGGGUAGAGCGGCAUAACAUUAACAUGUCCACAUGCACACUGGAUGAUUCAAACAUUACACUUACACCAGAUUACCCCAAGGUUAUUGUGAAAGCCCAACUAUUUAUUCUCAGAUGA